rnacentral:lncRNA from 1 species
GAUUGAUAGGUGCUAGGUAGCCAGAGAACAGUGUGAAGAGCAUAAAAAGAAUGGGCAAGGCACAGCAGUAAAGAGACAGAGUGCUCUAAAUCCAAGAACUGUGCAUUAUUCUGCAUAGGUGAAGAGUAGAGUGGAUGUGGGAAGUCAUAAGGGCUGAGACUAGAGAUGUAGGCAGGGACAAGAUGAUGCAAAGUCUCAUACAACAUUCUGAGGAAGACGUUUACCCUGAAAGAUUUGCCAGGAAAGCCGCUGUCUCAAGAAUAUCAAGGAGCGGAGUCUUUCCAGACCACAACUCCUCGCUCCAGGCGUUCGAAUCUGCCUCAAACAAAAGAGGAGACAACGGCGAAGGACGCCCCCCUGCCAUCCUCCUAUCUCACCAUGGCUCCCGCCUCGCUGCAAGCAGCCCCUCAAGGCCAAACGCAGGCUGGUGGGAAAACACCGACCUGCACAAGCUACAUGCGCCCUCUCCCCUACCCAAAACCCCGAAUAAAAAUCCCUACCCAUCCCUCAUCGGGGAGCUAGAAAUUUUUGAGGCAUGAGCCCCAGCUUUGCUCCCUAUGCCUGGCAUAGUAAAAACCUUUCCUCUUCCA